rnacentral:lncRNA from 1 species
CCACACCCGGGUAGCCAACGCAGGCCCAAAAGAUCCAGUGAUUUCCAAACAAAUAUAUUUACACAGCUGAUUAUUAGCCUUUUAAUCAAAGCUUCUAACCCCAUCCCUCUAAAAAAACAUCUUUUGUAGUUGCUCCUUACAAACCAUUUGAACACUAUAUAUAGCUAGAAACAAAUCUAUCAGCAACAUUGAUUGUCUUAUACACACCGGUAUACAUUGCAAAAUGCAAUUACAAGUAUGCGAGCAAUUUGCUUUCCUAAAAGUCCCAACCAAGCAGAGGCUCGUGCGUCUUCUUCACCAUGAAGACCAUCUCAUAGACAAAACCGGCCAACGGACCACCGACCAAUGGGCCAACCCAAUAGAUCCAAUGAUUGGUCCACACCCCGGUAGCCAACGCAGGCCCGAAAGACCGAGCAGGGUUCAUGGACGCCCCAGAGAAGUUGCCGCCCGCAAUGGUGUUGGCACCGACAAUAAGGCCGGUGAGCAUCGGUCCGUAGCCGGGCACCGUGGUCCGCGGGUCGAGGAUGGUGGCGUACACGACGAAGAGGAGGGAGAAGGUGAGGAUGAUCUCCAUGACCAGGCCUUGCAUGGGGCCUAUGCCUGCGCCCAGGGUGUGCACCGGAACCGGUGUAGGCUGCAUCAAUAAUUGCACAUGUGGAGAAUGUUUAGAUUUUGGAACGAUUCAUUGUCACGGCAAGCAAUAUUCAAUAAUUAAAACAAAUAGUACAUCUAUGUGGUACCAUACGUGUCCUUAUUUCCCUUGCAGGCGUACUAUACGUGUCUUAUUCGUAAUGUUUUGAAAUCAAUAUGAUUUAAUUGUUAUAAAUGUAUGUACAUGUAUAUAAUUAUUUGUGUUCGUGCUGUGCUCAAAGAAAAGUACUUCCGUCUUAAAAUAAGUGACUCAAAAAUGACUCCGUUUUGUACUAACUUUAGUACAAAAUAAAGUCAUUUUUAAGUCACUUAUUUUGAAAGUAUGAUUUAACUAUCUGAGCAGCAGUGAUUUGGCGUAUCCACUUUUUAAAGGACAAGUCAAUUACCAGGGCAGGCAGAAACAUAGCAGGGGUAGGGUCGUACCUGGCCGCCGGUGAGGCACCGGAGGAGGAUGCAGGCGAGGGAGGAGGCCAGCAGCUGGGCCACCACGUACAGCACCGCCCGGAACGCCGUGAUGUGCCCGCGCGCCAGCAGCGCCACCGUCACCGCCGGGUUGAGGUGCCCGCCGGAGACAUGGAACCCCGCCGUCACCAACACCCCCGCCGCCAGCGCCUGCGCAAGCGCAACCCCGGCCAAC